rnacentral:rRNA from 1 species
AUUCCAGCUCCAAUAGCGUAUAUUAAAGUUGCUGCAGUUAAAAAGCUCGUAGUUGGAUUUCUGGGAGGGUGCCAAUGUCCGCCGAGUGCGUGCGCAGCGGCGCCCUUCCAUCCUUCUGUUAACGCCUCUUGGCAUUCAUUUGCUGGUGGCGGGCUCAGAUAUUUUACCUUGAGAAAAUUAGAGUGUUUCAGGCAGGCUAGGCCGGAAUACAUUAGCAUGGAAUAAUGGAAUAGGACUACGGUCUCUUUGUUGGUUUGAGGGACUGCAGUAAUGAUUAAUAGGGAUAGUUGGGGGCAUUAGUAUUUAAUUGUCAGAGGUGGAAUUCUCGGAUUUGUUAAAGACUAACUUAUGCGAAAGCAUUUGCCAAGGAUGUAUUCAUCA